AGCCUCAACCAGCACUGCCAGUGCUAGAGGAAGAUGAAGGUGGCUGUGCUCAGUGUGGCCCUGCUCUUCUUCAUCCUGCUGUGCCCCCUGGCACAGACCAAGGCACUCCUGGAAGGAACUGAAAAUGAUCUCUGGGAGCCCCCUGUGCCUGAAAAGCUGGUGGGUCCUUUGUGGCAGAAGCACCUGGCUCUUGUUCUCCUUGGAUAGGAUUGCAAGAGUUGGUGACAUCCAUGUCCAGCCUGCUCCAGAGGCAUCAGGGAAUGAUCAUCCUUGAAUAACUGCCCUGAUUUCCCUUGAGCCCAGUGAAAUUUCUCUUGAAUGAUCAAUGAACCCCUUCAGCAAAC